AGAUUCUAGAAGCAACCAGGAGAAGUGAUGCCACUUGUGCUCCCUCUCACUCUCCAUUAAAUUAGAGAGUCAACACUGGGACCUCUGUUAAAGCUGCUUCAGAAAAACCAUAUCUUUACAACUAUUCUGACCAGCACAAGUUGGUGUGAAUUAUAGUUAACACCAUCUUUUCUUCUUUCAAACUCAUGUUAGUGCAUCUGAUUAGUUAAACCAAAAUCACAUCUGAAACUCUAACUGCUAAGGAUUCUGGGAAAUACAGCUUCUAGCUUUCCAACUCUAUAAAAUAGAAAGUAACAGAAGCCAAAGAAAGGGAAACUGAAGAGGAGGUUGGUGCAUGGGUCCAAUAUACAAGCAUCUUCUGUCCUGAAUACAGUAUCUCCUUAAGGCAUAAUAGUGGAUCCUUGAAUGUUGAAGAUGUCCUUACCAGCUUUGACAAUACAGGAAAUGUUUAAAGGUUUAAGACUAUGGAAUGAUACUCACCUGCAUUUGACUUCUGGCUCUGAAAUUCAUCUUGAGCAAUUUGUAUCAUCUCUAUGAACCUCAACUGUUUUCAUCUCUUAGGACUG
rnacentral:sRNA from 1 species